UACGGAGGGUGCAAGCGUUGUCCGGAUUUAUUGGGUUUAAAGGGUGCGUAGGCGGCUUUUUAAGUCAGUGGUGAAAUUCUGCAGCUCAACUGUAAGGACUGCCAAUGAUACUGGGAAGCUUGAGUACAUACGAGGUAGGCGGAAUUGACGGUGUAGCGGUGAAAUGCAUAGAUAUCGUCAAGAACACCGAUUGCGAAGGCAGCUUACUAGAAUGUAACUGACGCUGAGGCACGAAAGUGCGGGGAUCAAACAGG
rnacentral:rRNA from 1 species